rnacentral:rRNA from 1 species
AGCCUAAAGUUUCUUUUUAGGUAAAUCCUGCCCAAUGAUAAUUUUAAUGGCCGCAGUACUCUGACUGUGCUAAGGUAGCAUAAUCAAUUGGCUUUUAAUUGGAGUCUGGAAUGAACGGAUUAAUGGAAGUAAGCUGUCUCGUUUUUUAUUAUAGAACUUGGUAAGUGGGUGAAAAUGCCCACAUAUAGAAAAAAGACGAUAAGACCCUAGUGAAUUUUUAUAAAAAGUGUGAUCCACCUUUUUUUUGUUGGGGCGACAUAGAAGCAUUGAACCUUCUAGGCAACAUGCCGAUAUUUUCAAGAAAGAAUAAAUUACCAUAGGGAUAACAGCACAAUUAGUUAACUAGCUUAUGACCUCGAUGUUGGACUAGGAAUUAUUUUGGCUAAGUCGUCAAAAUAUGCUGUUCUGUUCGAACAUUAUUUUCCUACAU